CUCCUCUGAGUGUUUAAAAAAUGUUACGAUACAACGCUGUUGGGACAGCACAGCAGCUCGUGGUUAGCACUGAUGCCUCCCACACAGCAAAAAUCCCAGUGUACAUUGUACUCUAUAGGUGUACAUUUAACCACGGCUUCGUUGUACAUAUAAGUCCAAGAGUUCGGUGUUCGCUGAACACCAUCAAAAGUGUAACACAUUUACUGCAAGAGUUACAUUUGAACCCUCUGAGAGUGCAGUUUUACUCUGUCACUGGUACUUUUAGACACUACUUCAGUGCUUUUCGACACUCGCAGUGUAAACCUAGAACUCCCAGAGAGUAAAAUAUAUACUCUAAGUAAGUCAUUUGUAGCACUUUGCAGAGCUGAUUAUUUAAUACUCUGAUGAGAAUGAGAAUGUACUCUACGACACUUUUAAGAUGAAUUGUUAACACUUGAGGAAUUUAUAGUCCACACAAGAGUUACUUGAAAAUAUAACAUCUUUAAUAUAUCCUAACACAUUUCUUAUACAAAAACAUGCACAGGCACCACAUACUGAUCAUCUCCUUCAAAACCAUACGUUGUUUGCAGAUCAAACAGCUUAAACAGGAGCAACUCAUCAACUUUCAGCAUGGAAACAUUUUCAGAAUUUCCCUCUCUGACAUGAAAAGAAUGAAAAUGCUGUGCAAAACGUUGCACAAAUGUGUACAGGCUGUACACAUAAUGUGUCUUGAAGAGUUCAUCAAAGGCUGAUAGGGAAGACCUGGCCUUGCAGGGAAGGAGCUCACCAUCCAUCGCAAUGUAGUAAUCACGGAUGAUUUUUCUUGUGAUGCCAACUGCCAGGAUGUAGGGCUGCCUCCGCUGGGCUGGACCAGAGUGCUCUUAUAGGUUUCGACCCGACUGCAAGAUAACACAAAAAUAUUACUGCACAUCUUUUUUUAUGGAUAGGUCAGACAGAAAUCUGAUAGACAGAUAACUUCAAGAAAAAAAAAGAAAAUGUAUUUAUGUUAAUUACUAUUUAUAAUAUUAUAAAAAUGUUUUCAUGUAAAACAAUGGGAAAAACAAGGUGCUUGCCCAAGUACACAAUAUAGAUAACGUUACCUAUAGUUUAGGCUACAAGAGGCAGACACACUAACUUACCCUCCUUGAGAAAUUCCGAGGCUUCAUUUAGUUUGACGCACUUCUUUUUUCCUUCGUACUGUUCUUUGAACAGCAUUGCUGUAGAUCUUCCACAACUAUAUACAACACAAACAUACAGUUAGUGCACAGUUACCCACUAGCAACGUAACUUCGGGCGGGAGUCGGAAGCUCUGAAGUAGCUUCAGUAAAGCUAGCCACCAGGAGGGAUUAGCUCAUUUUGAGAUAGCUAACACACAAAUUCUGUGUUUUUCUUUGUCAAAUAACCUGUUUAACCGAGGUCAACAUUACAAACACAAUAUCGAUUCUGAUUAAUUAAACAUUUUCAGUUACUUUACAACUGAUAUAGCAAGUUAGCUAAACUACAUCAAAACCGCGUUUGCCUCCUUAAUGUAUUACUGUUAAGGUUUUUAGUUAUUGACGAAUUGAAACAUGAAAAAAAAAAGUAUUUCAUGUAUUAUUUAUUCACUUUAGUUUCUUAGCCUACGUGCAGUCCCGCGUGGCUGUCACGGUAGACUACGGUUAGUGUCGUGGCUGCACUCCUGCAAGACGAAGGCUCAGAACAUGCGACUGGAUUCAACCAAUGAGGACGCGGAGCGCUGAUGACAAAAUCCAAACCUAACUCUUGGUGCGGCCGGGAAAGAGUCAAUCAUGAAAUAAACUCGGGGAUAAACUCUAUUAUUGUAAAAUAAACACUACACUUGGGCCUUUCUGGGUUCACAUGUUCUUCCUUUUUCUGCGUGGGUUUUCUCCGAGUGCUCUGUGUAACCUCUAGCUCAUUAAGCAGGUGUUCGUGUGGUUAGUAACAGCGCGACGAGUUAAGUUUCCAUGGCUCACCGCUGCAAAAUGACUUCGGGUGCCCGAAUAGUAAUGGGGGGGGGUUAAAUACAGGAUCAGAGUUUAGAGUAAGAAGUAUGGAGUUAAUAUUUAAAUAUUUGUUGCACCUAGAGUUUUGAUUUAGUUACACUUUUACACUUGGUUUUAACAACAACUUUUUGUCGACUGAGAGUUAAUUAUAAUGGAUUAACUCUACCCAGAGUAUAAUUUACUCUACGAGUGUAUGUCUAGUUUAAUACAAAGAAUUCAACUCUUCUCAAUUUGCUGUGUGUGAAAGACUCGUGACCUGUCCGGAUGUACCCUGCCUCUCGCCUGAUGACAGCUGGGAUAGACCCCUGCGACCCCCAUAGUGAAGAUAGGCGGUAGUAGAGGAUGAGAUGAGACAUUGCUGUUGAUUUUUUCUUUGUUUGUUUUUCUUUUUGGUUUUAUUCCAGCAGCACUUGUGCUUCUUAGCACUGAAGUCAGCUUUUUCUUCUUGUCAAAUGUUUUCGUCACCAAAUAGUGCAGUUGACACAUUUCUAGUUUGUACAACAUGUUUUGCCCUAUAGCAGCACAGUAAAGCAGCUCAUGUUAUUUAACAAUGACUCUCCUCCUAUAGGAACACAGAGUCGUCUUUCUUUUUCUGUUAAAAGUAAAACUAGUUUGUGUCCUCCCAAACAGAAAGGUCAAAAUGGGAACUGCUAGUAGUUGUGUCUUGUCUUGGAGCAGCUGUGGUUGUCAUCUUAGGGGUACUGGUACUUCCUGGAACCAAAAGAGGAAGAGAUGAUGGAAAGUAUUUGGCUGGCUUUGAUGAAACCUACAGUAUUGUCA